rnacentral:rRNA from 1 species
GACGAACGCUGGCGGCGUGCUUAACACAUGCAAGUCGAACGGAAAGGCCCUGCUUUUGUGGGGUGCUCGAGUGGCGAACGGGUGAGUAACACGUGAGUAACCUGCCCUUGACUUUGGGAUAACUUCAGGAAACUGGGGCUAAUACCGGAUAGGAGCUCCUGCUGCAUGGUGGGGGUUGGAAAGUUUCGGCGGUUGGGGAUGGACUCGCGGCUUAUCAGCUUGUUGGUGGGGUAGUGGCUUACCAAGGCUUUGACGGGUAGCCGGCCUGAGAGGGUGACCGGCCACAUUGGGACUGAGAUACGGCCCAGACUCCUACGGGAGGCAGCAGUGGGGAAUAGUGCACAAUGGGCGGAAGCCUGAUGCAGCAACGCCGCGUGCGGGAUGACGGCCUUCGGGUUGUAAACCGCUUUCGCCUGUGACGAAGCGUGAGUGACGGUAAUGGGUAAAGAGGCACCGGCUAACUACGUG